ACCGAUUCACGCGAUUGGACCGGUGGUGAACAGCAACAUGAUUCCAAGCAGAGAAGCCGGAUCGAAGGUGAAGACCGGAGAGGGCCUAGAUGUGUUCGGUAAGCACGAGUGCUUGAGCUGGCUAAACAGUCAACCAGAAGGUUCGGUGUUGUUUGUUUCAUUUGGGAGCGGUGGAACCUUACCAAGUGAGCAGAUGAAUGAGUUGGCUUUAGGGCUUGAAAUGAGUGGGGUAAGAUUUCUAUGGGUGGUUAGGAGCCCGAAUGAGAAUUCCAUAAAUGCCACUUACUUUGGUGAUCAAGUUUCCAACGGCCCUUCGAGUUUUCUUCCGUUAGGGUUUCUGGAGAGGACCAAAGAGGUAGGGUUAGUGUUACCUUCUUGGGCUCCUCAGGUUCAGAUUUUGAGUCACCGGUCGACCGGCGGCUUUUUGACGCAUUGCGGGUGGAACUCAAUCCUGGAAAGCCUUAUGCAUGGCGUACCUUUGAUUGCUUGGCCGCUCUAUGCAGAGCAGAAGAUGAAUGCAGUUUUAGUUUCUGAAGAUAUGAAAGUGGCAUGGAGGGUCAAGAUGAAUGAUAGGGGCAUAGUGGAGAGUCGUGAUAUUGAGAAAUAUGCGAGGAACCUAAUCGAAGGAGAUGAAGGGAAAUUGCUCAAGAAGAAGAUGAUGGAGCUAAAAGAGGCAGCCAAUAUUGCUCUUGGCCAAGAUGGGUCGUCUACAAGAUCACUUGCGGAGGUAGCCGAUGCAUGGAACGGCCACAUGAAUUAAUUAGGACUAAUCUGAUUUGUCAAUUUAUAUUGUUUUCCUAGCAAAUUAAGUGAGAUAUGCGUGUCUUUGGUUUCAUUUUAUUUGAUAUCCUAUCUCUUUCCUUCAUUGUCUCAAUAUAAUGUUUGCAUCUAGCCGUGGUCCAGUUUUGUGUUCUGUUUUCUGAGAAAGGCGUGGUUCACUAACUUCAGUCAACGUGCCCUUAUAGAGUUAUAGGGAUUCACAAGAACAGGUAUCGAUGACUAUUGAGGAAACUCUGGUAAUAUGACUAAUAUCAGUUGAUAUACAGCUUAUGUUUUCAGGAAAUAGCUUUAUUACUGUAUGCACUGGAUCUUGCAAAAUGAGGUUAUAAAAUGGGUUAUGAUUAAAUGAUCGAGAUUCAACGUAUAAUCACAGCUAGCUAUCAGAGCUGGUUCAAUCCUUUCAAUAAAUGGGUUAUGACAAAAUGGGUCAUAUAGAGGACCAAUACCACUACACAUCAUGAGCAUCAUAAAAUCACAGCAAGCUAUUCUUUCAAGUUCUACAGGCUGAAAUUGAAAACCCAAACUAACUAAGUGUGAAAACAGACACAGAUGGUAGGUUUAAGAAAUAAUACCUGAGAAAACUUCACACUUGGUGAAUCUCCGAACUUUUACUGUUGUUCGCCAAGCCUUGGGUCACUGUAAUGCUACUGCAUCCAACAAAACCCAAACCUAAACUAAGUACAGUCUCAUGAACUUGAUAUACAGGACGUCAUCACCCCAAGGAGUAAGAACCAAAAUAAAAUUAUACCAAAUGAAUGAGUUGGCUUCAGGGAUUGAAAUGAGUAGGGUGAGAUAUCUUUGGGUUGCUAGGAGUCCAAAUGAGAAACUGAAAAAUGCUACAUAUUUUGCCAUUUUGGUGCUCAAGGUCCCAACGAUCCCUUAAGUUUUCUACCCCAAGGGUUUUUAGAGAGAACCAAAGAUGUAGGUAAGGUUGUAAGCUCUUGGGCACCUCAGAUCCAAAUUUUGAGUCACGAGUCGACGGGCGGGUUUUGACGCAUUGCAGGUGGAACUCGACGCUAGAGAGCAUUGUGCAUGGUGUGCCUUUAAUUGCUUGGCCACUCUAUGCCGAGCAAAAGACGAACGCAGUUUUGCUUGCUGAAGAUAUAAAGGUAGCAUGGAGGGUUAAGGUGAAUGAUAAGGGCAUAGUGGAGCGUGAAGAGAUUUGCAAGUAUGCGAAGGGACUGAUUGAAGGGGACGAAGGGAAAGUGCUCAGAAAGAAGAUGAUGGAGCUGAAAGAGGCAUCUCAACUGGCUUUGAGCCAAGAUGGGUCCUCUACAAAAUCACUUGCGGAGGUAGCUCAGAUAUGGAAGGAUCACAAGAACUAAUCAAUCCCAUUUGUUCGAUGAAUCCUAAUAUUAUUAAAGAUUGAAUAUCUUGAAUCCGUUUUCGUUGUCUUUGACCCUCGAUGUACGUAGCCAUGUUGAUUUGUGAUCAGAUUGUAUGUAUUAGUUAAUCAUACGAAGACUUUUCUUUUUUAUGUUUUGAGAAUAAUUGUUUGUGGUUGUUGCUCAAUUCUGCAGUGUAGUUAAUCUAGCGCCAACUACGUAGGUAUACCGUAUACGAUUAGUUGCAUUUGUCGAUACAACAACAAACUAGAGUCUUACAGUAACUUUUUUUUUUUUAGCUGGACUCAUCAAAGUUCAGAGUUUUUCCAGUGAUGAUUAACUCAAAUUACUCGAUUGAUAACAAUACAGAGUAGUGUUUACCUGGUCAGUAAUUGAUCAAGAGAUUCAUGAUCAGUCACAAUUAGAUGUAAAUUUAAGGGUGGAGGGAAUUAUUUUUCAGUUGAGUUAUUUUGUUUUCAACCCUUGGAUGUAAAGGGAAUUUUUUUUAAGUUGAGUUGUUUUGUUUUCAACCAUUGGCUGUAAAUCUAAUGGUAACUGACUAUGAAUCCCUUAAUUAAUUACUGAUCAGGUAAACACUACUGUAACAAUAUAACUGUAACAAUAUAAAGAAAAGUAUGUAAAAAUUUGUACACUUAGUUUUGAGCUGCUAUACAUUUCCAACAAACCCAAUGAUUUGCUCUGCCGUGUCUAACCCACCCGACCCGUUUAUUCUUACCCAAAGUCCUAAAACCCGUUUUUUUUUUUUUUAGGUCGACGAUAAUCGAUGCCGGUACGGUCGGAGCUCCACGCACUUCCACAACGGAGAUGGAAAAGUCUCUAGAGAAGAUGGAGAAAGGAACACCUGCUCGUCUUGGAACUCUCACCAUCUUCGACUCCCCCCACCCUUCUUCCUCCUCCUCCUCCUCCAAAUCCAAGGUCCCAAUCACUCAUUUCUCUCUUUCAAUACUUUUCAAUUCUACCCAAACCUUUUGGUUUGUUAAACAAUUUGUAGUUGUUGUUGGGUUUACAGGUGCAUCACGCUUCCGGCGUUGUGAAGGUUGCUUGUGGUUCCGCCGCAGUUGGGUCACGCCGUGGCGAGUGUUUAAGCUGAUGGGACAUUGUCUUUGGUUGGAAGAGAUUGUUGAAGGUAAUAUUGAAUCAUAUUGUAGCAGAUUCCUUGUUUUUUUAAUGUGUGAGACAUUGUGUUUUGGGAUGCAUGUUUGAGUAUAAGAAUGUGUGUGAGAUUUGUAUCUGAUGGAAGAUGUUGGGUUUAUUGUUCUGUAGACGCGCAACCUCUUCGAUGGAAGCUGUGCAAAAGCUUCAAAAAAUAUUCAGCUCAGAUGCUAGAUGUUCAAUUCGGAGGUUCAUCGUCGAUUUUGAAGAUGGUUAGCAUUUUCAGCUUUGUGGUUAUAGUUCUUAGGAAGUUUGGCUGUGGCAAAUGGUGGUUUUUUCAUUCCCCUUUUCGUCUGUGCGGGAUUUAGAAUGAAAAUGUACCUUGAGCGAGUGAAAUUCAUGAAUCUUAAUUUGUUUGUUUCGUAGGGAACCGCGUAUUCAGAUGGCAGUGUCAAAAACUUUGAGCUACUUGAUCCCUUGGAAUUGAAGAACUGGCAGCUUUAGGUGAUCAUUUUAUCUGAUUCAGUCUGACACUGAUAUUAUUAUGCUGUUUAACUCGAUUUUGAAAGUUGUACUAUACAAAAUUCAGCCUUGAAAAAAGUACAUGUAAAUUCUUAUUUACGAUUUUCAUCUAGUUUAUGUUUCGGUUGCUGUGCAUGCUGGGUUCUUAUCAUGCUUGCUUUAUCUUGACAUGGUGCUGCCCAUCUAUUAUGAUUUUGUACCAAUCUGUUGUGCUGGUCACUCUUAAGUAUGCAUCUGCCAAGUCAAAUAGGCUGCAUGAUGCAAAAAAAAAUUGUCACAAAUUAUAGGUGAUUACACCUAGCCGUAGGUUUAUGUUCAGACAAGAAUGCUGUUCAUGUUGAAUGAGUGUUGAGAGCUAAAGAAUUUGAUGGCAUGUGAGAAAGGUUAAUUUGCAACUACUUUACUUUUCACCCCAGUAGAAGUUAGAAAUCUACUGAUGUUGUGAUAUCUGCUUCCCACGUUCUGUGAAUAGCCGGGACAUUGAGGAAUAUCAUGACAUGGUUUCUGUGGUAUAGUGAAUCUGGUUUCAAGCAACUGAUUUUGUCUGCUUUUGCAGCUUAAUAUAUGAAUCUGGGCCGAAGGCAAGGUUGCUGCGGUAUGCAGCUGGUGCGUUGCAUUUUGCUGAAAAGGGUGUUGAUCCUUUUCUUGUGUCGUGGAAUCGGUAAGGAAUUUUUUAACGAUUUCAACUGUAUCCAGACAUGAUCUUAAUUCUGCAAUUGCAAUGUUCAUACCUAUGUGAUUGAUUUUAUGCCUUUGCAGCAUUGUUCUUUUACAUGGGACUCCAGGGACUGGAAAGACCUCUUUAUGCAAAGCAUUGGCUCAGAUGUUAUCCAUUCGUUUUAACUCCAGGUUGGUGGAUGUACCCUUGCAUUAUAAAUGAAAAACCUCCUUGGAUUUGAUUACCCUGUCAACUCAAAAGGACGCUAUUCAGGAUGCACUUCUAGUUGCCCUCCCAGUAUAGAUCAGUUUAGUCUAUUUUUGGUAUCGCACAUCAGUCUGCAGUCCACUACGGUUCUAAGUUGUGACAGAUAUGUAUGAUUUUGUAAACGAGGAGCUGACACAUGAUAAUCUGGACCCCUCAAUCCCGAGAUUUCAAUUUAUAUGCUAGAAUAAAAAAUUUCAGCCUUUUUGGAUUUCUGUUGGUGUUCUAUCUGUUUCUUCACUAUGUUUGCUGCUUUCACAUUGAUUAUACUUACAUUAGCUGUUUGAAAGGAAACACACAGAAAUACUAUUACUGGUCCUGUUAUAUGACAAUUUACCAUUUUUGGGUUGCAGGUCCAUGUAGCUGAUAUAAAAGCAUAUGCUGGUCCUCCAACUCUGCAAGCGUGUUACGAAAUCUUAAGGUCCUGGUGAAUGGAACUCAUAGGAACAGGAAUUUUAUCAAAUUUUAUCAUGCCUCAGAUUCAUGAUGCCCAGACACCACUACACCUGUGUAGGCAAUUGCUUGAAACUGCAGAAGCAUGUGAGGUCGGAACACAUCCUUCACUGCCUUCUAAAGUGGACCUUUCAUAUGUAUUCCUUAAGAAAGCUUCCAUCCCUGGAUCAUGCUGCUCUUCCAAAUCCUUAGAGAGAGUUAAGAGUUGUGACCCUAGCUAGCAGUGUCUUGUGACAGAUAUUGACAUUGAUAAUUCCUCAAAGGUAAACUUGUACUUCCCUAUCUUAAAUAUUGCAGGUUCUUCUUGUUCUUGUUUAUUACAUGAAUGUUAUUCUUUUUUGUCUCCCUCCCUCUCAAUUAUAAUUUUCUUUACACACUAGUUUUUAAGACUUUUCAUAUUCACAUCAUGUUUCAGAAAUGGUAGCAUCAUAUGGAACUCUGUAGGUUCACUUGAUGAUAUGACUUUUAAAAGUUGCACCUGUGGCAAAUUGGUAAAUGCUAUUUUUCAAAGUCGCAUAUGGAAAAAGCAAAACUGGAAAGGGCAACCAAUUUUUGUUUUUUGGUAGCUUACACCUUGUAACAGAAGUGAUGUCUGUGCAUUUCGAAGUGUUUAGUGGCAAUUGUCUGUUACUAAAAAAUGUGUGCGAUAUUAACCAAAUUACUAUCUUAUGAAAUACAAGUUAUGCCUUAGAACUUCUAAAUGAUGAUAGGCUAUGGUCUUAUAUUCUUAUUAUUUUACAGGUAUGGGAAUUUGAUCAAGCUCAUCAAAGACGGCUUUCCAGUUGCAGCAUUGGCUUCUCCAGAUGAGAAGGGUGAUCAGGUCUAUGCGGUUGCUUGGGCACCAAACAUUGGCAGGUAGGGAAUUGUCAACUUGUUGCGGAGCCUUAACAAGAAAAAAUGUGAAUUAUUUCGAAGCCAAGGUUGUGAUCUUCCUAAUUGGUUUACGUACUUGCAAUCAGGGCUGGCAACUGGAGUGGAAUGUCAUGGGCGUCCCCUGGGAGCGAUGGGGUAGUACGGUUGUGGCAGUCUAAUUUGAAGGGCAUUACAAGCUACACUGGAGCGUGCUUCCUAGUCCUUCCCUUCGCUGCUACAUUUGAGAGUUGCUGCUUUCUGGAUCGGAGAUUACAGAUUCCGACUUUGCAUAUUUUGUUCAAGUUAUCAAAUGUGGUCUAUACUAUCAGCUGACAGAUAUUGAAAUCGAAACAGUAGUGUUGGGGUUUCAAGAAUUUUCUAUUUCAGAUGUUGUAAUAGUACAGUACAAGCAAAUACCAUACCACAUUUUUGAUCAUCUUCACACAUAUGUAUCCCUCUGUUCUCACUUACAAGCUGAAACUUCUAUCCCUAUUUAGCUUUUCACAUUUUCUAUCACUCUCAUUUCUCAGUUACAAGCUGAAAUUUCUACCUUUGUUUUGCUUUUCCAAUUUUCUAGCUGACAAUUGCAAUCCCCUACCUUAUCUGGGAAAAAAAUCCCCUAAAGUAAUCACCAGGGUGUGAACCACCUCGAUCUCUGGCUCCCUCAUAUCUUUUCCUCUGAAGUAAUCAAUCACUGGCGAGACAAAAUACAGAACAAGCAAAACUGAGAGAACCCCAAAACCCGCGUAGUAGACGAAUCGAACAUUGUGCCACAAGAUCACCGCGAGUGGCUUUUCUGAACCUUCGAUCCACUUUUUGCAUUCGUCCCGAGCAGUAGCAAGGUUCUCUUCAAAUUUUGUCAGCAAUUCCGGCUUGAAAAUCCCUAUCACUGUCGUGACCGCCAUGUACAAAAACACCAUCACCAGGGCGUCCAAGUACCAGUUUGUAUACCAGGCCCUAUGCCUCUCCUUCUUCUUCGCUGGAAUGACAGUAAACCAGUUUUUACUUUUACUGCGAUUAAAAACUACCACGCCUUCUUUUGAAAUUGAAACAGAAACAGUAAAUUAAAAACUACCACGCCUACUUGUUUUUGCAGAAAUUGAAACAGUAAACAGCAGUAGAAACAGUAAAUCGAAACAAUACAGUAAAAUCAAAAUAGCAAUCGAAACAAUACAGUAAAAUCAAAAUAGAAUAGGUAAAAUCCAAAACCUAAAACCAGGAGAAGUUCGAGGCUUACCGCCGGUCGAUGGUGCCGGUGCCGGCGCCGUUAACCCCUGAGGUGGCGGAGGGCAGACACAGUUGCAGACGCAAGGAACAGGCCGGCAAGGCACGGCGGCGCGUCGCGGAGGGAUAGGGCAUACGCACUUGCAGAUAGGGAGAUGGUGCUGCACGCUCCAGUCCGUCCCCGGCGGCGACCGAUCGAAAACCUGAGGCGAAGCCAUAGACGGAGUCGUGAAAACCGCCGUGUACGGCGGCAAGGAAGAAGACAGCGGAGACUGCGGUACUGAAGGAGACGGAGGCUGCGAUAGAGGAGAGGCGGUCGGAGUUGAUGACAUAUUUGCCGGAGUGACAGCAGCGCGCCGUGGCGGCGGAGAGUGUGGUGAUGGAGGAGACGCGGCUGGAGCUGAUGAAGGUGGAGACGUCGAGAACGACUGGGAGAGCUUCAUCGCCGGAGCAAAAGCAGCGCUCCGUGGCGGCGGAGAGUGCGGUGAUGGCGGAGACGCGGCUGGAGCUGAUGAAGGUGGAGAUAUCGAGAACGACUGGGAGAGCUUCCUCGCCAGAGUGACAGCUGCAGCUCCAGCUGGCUCUCGCCGGAGCUCCGCCGCCGGAGGAGGGUGGAGGAGAAGCAAGCUCGUGCUGAGCACACUGAGAACCGUCACGACUUUCACGAGAGUGGAGAGCGCCAUUUCUGUUAUGCUUCUUGGAGAGUGUGCGUUGAGAAAUGGGACCCCUUUCCUUGUAUACUGGUACCUGAGCCUUGGCUCCGCGACCCAUAGGUUGACACCUGUCCAAACCGUUAAAUAUAGUCCAGAAGCUUCCAAAUCGUCACUGUGUAGAUUCUCUAAAAAAGAAUGAGGAUUAAAUAAUAUACGUGAUGAACCGGAAACAUGGUUAUAGUGCCUAACUACGCUCUAACUUAGAACUUACAGAGGGUGUUGGUCGAUUAAGACAACAGGACAGUGAUCAAAGAAGUUGAAAUCUGUUAAAGAGUGUGUAACAACUCACAUGCUGAAUCAACUAGCCGCGAAAAUAGGUGACCUACACUCGGCCGUCAGGGCAGGUGCAAAAAAGGAUGACUGGGCGCGCACCCUCAGGUGCGGCUGGGGUGUGCCUAAGUUUAGGGUCCUCGACACUAGGACCCACAAGCCCAGCCCUCAAAGCUAAUCAUUUUCUUGAGGUCAACAAAUAAACUAUCAUAAAUAAACUAUUUUAUUCUCAUAGUCGUACUGUCUCUAUUAAACGUGAUAUUUCUUUCGGAAAAAAAAAAGAAAAAAAAGUGGUAUUUUUGCAUACUUAGGUGCUCAACAUAAAGCGUUUGUCGGUUAGCUUUUAGGUAUUAGUAAUGUGGCUUGUUAGCGUUAUCCAAUUGAUUAUAACUUGCUUAUUGGUAAAAUGCAACAUGAGCUUGGAAAGCUCAUACCCUUUCUACUAGAAAAAUUAAUUCUUAUCGAGACUAAUCUUUCUUCUAUUUCUAAUCAUCUCUGACCUCCCACCAGACGCCAUGAUGCAAACUAAAAUAACUCUCACCCUGUCACGUUCACUCUCUGUUGUCCGUGACUCGGUUAUGGCCUUAGCCGAGCUGACUAGGUUAGUUGUUUAGGGGUAAUUCUCAUUCUAACGUUUCAUGGGAUCAAGCUACUUCACCUAGGGUCUUGGUGUUGGUCCUUCUCAUGUCUUUGAUAAAGCUGUGAUUGCUAAGCUUGGUUGGAAAGUCUUAUCUCAAUUAAAUAAUUAAUGGGUAAAGUUAUUUACAAAAAAUUAUGGGGAGUAGUUUUCAAAAAAUGACAAAACACAUGUCACUAAAGACAAAAUUUAAAAUUAAGAGUGUAAAUUUCAGUUUCCAAAAAUAUCUCUGAAACGUAAACUUUUGGAAAUAUCUCUGAAACGUAAACUUUCUUACAAUGCAUAAGAAACCUCAACAUUCUCUAGCUUCGAAAGGUGUCUUAGAUGCUAGAGAUAUUCUCAUUGAUGAUCUUAGAUUUAAAGUGAUUUUAGUGAUCUUAAGAUCCAAUUAAUUGAAUGUUUGGAUCUUAAUUGAGUGUUUGCUCGAUCGCAUGUUACAACACAAUCCCAGUAAGAUUUGAAAAUCAACCCCGACUUGAAAGAAAGAAAAAGAAAAAAAAAAAUCAAUCACUGAUCGACGUCCUUACGAAUACACAUUAAAUAUUACAAUUGAUUAUAUUCUGUGUGUAAUUUCUCAUAUGUGGAGUCGGCACUUCUUCUACUAUACGAAGAUGAUAAUUUGAAGUUCCAGAUCACCGCUGGCGCCACCAGAAAAACAAAUAAAACCAGAGGGAUUUUGUAGGAUAUUGCGCGGGCCAAGCACAAGACGAACGCUAUCACAAAGAAAAAACAUAUACUGAAAGCGAUUUCAACGGAUCCAGGUACAUGACGAUCAAGUUGUUCCUGCAGUUGUUCUCGAGUUACAGGCUCAGGCCGAUCCAUGAUGGAGGCGACGAAGCCGUCAUAUAAAUCUGGUAGUCCGUUCAGGACGAAAGAACAAACUCAGAAUCAUGAACAGGUGAGCCUGCCUCUUCGAGGGCAUCGGCGAUUUGUUUAGCUGUUUCUAUGCAUUUCGUUUGCGUCCGAAACUUAUUCACGUCCAGGUUUCUUAGACGAUCCCUGAGCUCACUUACAUAAGUCAUUGCAUCCUCAGCGAGUAGGUUUUCCAAGUGUAACCACAGAGCUCGUCCGCUUGUGAAUUCUUUUGUGCGUCCGAGUAGGCUCACAGAUAAAGCUGAGUUGAUCCAGGUUAGUAACGUUUGGUCCCUCUUGAUCCAAUUGGUAUGAGCUAGGGUUUGGCUUUGUGGUGGACACUGCUCUCGACCUUCUGCGAGGUCUAGCAUGUCAGAGGCCCUCAGAACUGAGAUGAACAAGGAUUUCCACAGGAGGUAAUUCUCCUUAGUCAGUUGGAUUGGGAUACGGCUAGGAAAUUGGUGAGCAUGUCCGGGAGGUUGGAGAGAGGUUGACGACGACGAUGAUGAGUCGGUAGCAGGAGGCAUUCUUGGUUGUUGAUCCUCAACUGGAUACCCAAUCACCGUCAAGUCUCGAGUUGUAGACAUCGGUGGAAUGUGGAAUUGACGAUUUAUAUAAGGAGCUUAGGAUGUGUGAGUCCUUUUACGGUUUUACCAGUAGAAUUUGACAAGGAAUCCACAUGUGACAUAACUCGGUACCAUCAAAAGACUUAUAAUUGUAUGUUGGCGUGACGUUGUUGGACUCGUAAUCCUAAAUUCCUAAUACAUUUACAUUUUUCAGACUAGAAACUACAAGACAGUUUUCUUUAGCUGGAUCUUUAAUAUUAAUUCCCCAUUUAUUUUUGAGUUCCUCCGGUCCAUUUCUUAAUGUAGUCUUUAUGUUCUUUUAAAUCUUGAAGCCUAAAGGUGAUCGACGAGGAAGAAGCCUAAAGCGGGGCUAAAGGUGCAUCUUAAUGAUUCCAUCUGUAUACAUAUUUUAUUGUGGCACACCUCUCUGUUAUUAGUUAUCUGAAGAUCGAGUACGAAUCAUAUUAGAACUAAUGGAUCAACGUAUUGAACAAGAAUGCGAAUCACAUUAGAACUAGUAUUCCGAACCCCUACUCAUAUAUAACUCCUGAUCGAGAUGUUGAACAGACUCUUUGAAUUUUGAUGUUUGGGUACGCACCACGCACGAUCGAUGAUAUUAGAACCAUAUAUUAUACACUCGACCCUAAACCCUAAUCCAAACCCUAUGUUAGGAUUCUCCCUUUCUAUUAUAGUGUACUCUUCCUCAACUACCCUCACUUGUUUACCAGUCUUCGUAUCACAAUUCACACCAACCCAAAACAACUUGUUCUCUUUCUCUGUACGUCAUGAUACCCAGAUUUGUAAAAUGGAAAGAAUAUGAUGAUCCAAAUAGAACCAUUUUGGCUACAAUCGUGUAAUUAGCUAGGAACAAUUUCUGGGAUUUAGAAGUUUUGAUAUAUUGGUCACAAACACUACAAAUCCAAAUUAAAUUACCUAAAUAAGAUUGAUGAAGUUAUAUAGGGUAGAAGAGAUUAGUUCAACUGAUUAUCAUAGACUUAUCAAAAAACUGAAUAUCAUAGAUGGUACAGAAGAAAUGUGAAUUAGUGAUGAGAUUGGAUUCGACCGAGUAUGACGACUAAAUCUGCACCUUGAUUCUAUCUAUUUGAGAUUAAUUACCUAACAUCAUGAAAAAGAAGAGUUUGGUAACUCCCGUCUCCACCCAGACCAUAUCAGCCAUAUAUAUAUAUAUAUAUAUCUAUCUUACUUUUAUUUGAAAUUUCGUUAAUUAGCUCACCUUUAUCUGGUUUCUUUAUAGAGAACAAGAAAAGCACAGCUGAUCAUAAGAGAUGCAGAGCAGAGCAAAGAGAGAGUGAAGCUGCAAUCUUUGUAAGCUUCAGGAUAAAUUUCCAUGUAAUCCUCAAUUCAAUUCGGUGGAGUUGUUAAUUACACUACCAGGACAAGCACUUUAGCUGACGAAAAAGUUUCGUCGGCUUGUUAGCUUAAUUCGUCAGGUAACGAGCCUUCGUCAGCUAUAGUUUCGUCGGGAAAGGGUCGUCGGCGAUGACUUUAGCCGACGAAACUAGAAAACGUCGUCGGCUAUUAUCCCAGUCUUUAGCCGACGAAUAUUUUUAAUGUUUCGUCGACCAUAGUCUGAUACUUUAGCCGACGAAACAUUUAAGAUUUCGUCGGCUAAAGUGUGUAAUAAAAAAUUAAAAAAAUAACUAUAGCCGACGAAAUAUAGUCUGUUUCGUCGGCGUUAGAAUGGUUUAACCGACGAAACAUGUCAUAAUUCGUCGGCUAAACCUUAUUUAAAAAAAAUUAAAAAUAUUAUAGCCGACGAGUAUCUUACAUGUUUCGUCGGCUAUAAGUCCAUUCCAGUAAAAAAAAAUACCUGAAAUUUCUAAAUUACCAUUCCAAGCAAGCUGCAAAAUACACCAAAACAAUUCCAUACAUAUAACCAACAACAAGCACAUAAAACUAUAUAAUUUAUCAACUACACAAAAUCUAGAUGGUCUAAAUCAAUAUCCAAUUCUGGGGGCUGCUGCUGAGGAGUUUGCGGCGGCUGAGGUAGCGGUAUAGGCAUAGGCAUUGGCGGAGCUGGAAGUCCUUAAAGCUGGGCAGCUGUAAACUCCUGCAAGUAUUGGAAUAUCUGCUGCUGUUAGGCCUGUUGGGCGGCAUAUAUCGCGGUAGUAUAGGCUCUCUGGUCGGCGAUCUGGGCGGCAUGAGCGGCAGCCUGAGCAGCUUGCUGUUCUCGUAGUCUCUCAACUUCCGACUCUAGCUGAGUCGUCAUGCUGCUGGUCGAGGCUGCCUUUCGUUGAAAUCCUGGAGUGGUCUUCAGGACCCUCUCGCCCUUCUUUCCUAGACCCCAGCAGUAGAAAUUGUUUUCUCGCGGUGGGAAGACUGUGCUCAUGAUCCUCGUCCCAACCCUCGGAUCCGAAGUGUUGAUCCGGGACAUGGCUUCGGACAUUUCUUCCUCUUACGUGUCCGGCCAUGUCUCCCACACUAUAACACUCAUCACCUCGUCACUAGCCUCCCUCACCUUCGCCUAAUUAGAUAGGAAAAAAAGCGAUUAAUUAACAUUUUGACAUAUAUAUAAGUAAAAUUUAAAAGGGCCAAUGAUAAAAAAGUACAUUUAGAAGUAACAAAUGAUAAAACUGUUAAUAAAUGUUCACUGAUGAUAAAACAGUACACCCAUUUAAAUCCCUUAAAACGUUGCCCCUAAGAAUGAAAAGAAUAACGAACACUGCCACUGAGCAAAACGCUCUCUCCAUCAUAACGCCUCUCUCUCUCUCUCNNNNNNNNNNNNNNNNNNNNNUACCUACCUCUCUCUCUCUCUCUCUCUCUCUCUCUCUCUCUCUCUCUCUCUCUCUCUCUCUCUCUCUCUCUCUCAUCUGGAUCCAGGUCUAGUCGAGUCCAAUGGCUUUGCCGUCAAUGAGCCCUGCCGGCUGCCGUAAACUCUUCUAGGUCGACUAGGCUCGACGGCGAUUGGGCCCUAAUCUCACCGAAACAAUUUCAAGGUCGGCGACCUUCGACUCCAAGCAGAUUUGUUAUAGAAUCAAAUCGAUGAGAUCAUCGAUGAGGUCAACAUCGAAACUUCGCCCUGAGAAACUCAUUUCCAGCGAGGACGCUGCCAACAACUCACCCUGUGGCCGCUUUGACUUUGGCUUCCAUCUUUUUUCUCUGGCUCUGAAAACUAGAGGUGUGUAGUGUGUCAGAUAUUUGCCCAUGUUGUUCUUUUGCUUCAGUGCUUAAUUGUGACAAAAGGUUUGGUCUUGGCUAUGAUUUCUGAGUUCUGAAGCUUUUGUGUGUGUUGCUUCAACUUCUUGUAGUUGUUUGUGUUUCUGGUUUGCUUCAGAGGUUUGUGUCUGAUGAGAACAUUUUUUCUUUUUAAAUGCUUGUUGAUCUUGUUCUGGCAAAUGCUAAUGUAUGUGUUUCUGAACAGAUGGUGGUAUUUAAUUAAAGUUCUGUAGAUUUUUGUGAUGAAAUUAAAGAGUGUGAAUGUGUUGGUAUUUUAUUUGUAAAUGUGUUUGUGAACAGAUGGUGAAUGUGUGAAUGUGUUUGUGAACAGAUGGUGGUAUUUUAUUUUUCAAUUGUGAAUGUGUUCAGUUUGUUGAGGUACAUCUGGGUGAGUUUGGUUGAAAUCUUUUGGUAUUUAAGUUCAGUGAGUUUGGAAAGAAUUGGUUUGGUUGAGGAAGAAUGUAUAGUGAAGUAAAGCUAAAGUUGUAGAGCUGAGUUUGGAAAGGAUUAGAAGUGUUUAGGAAAAAGCUUGAAUGUGCUGAAGCAGUUUAUGCAGCAUCCAAAACAACAGGCAGUCCAGAAGGAACAAACCCACCAAUAAAACUGGCUUCCUUGGUCUUUGUGGGGCAAAGGUUGAUAAUAUAGAGUACUACACUGAGAAGAUUAAUGAAACAAUCCCAAAAUUGGAAGCUGAACAGAAAGUCACUCUUAGAGAGAAGCAGCUAAAUGCUGCUUUAGUUUUCUUCACUAAUAGGGUGACUGCAGCUUCUGCAGCACAGACUCUACAUGCCCGAAUGGUUGACACAUGGACAAUCAUGGUUGCUCUUGAACCUCGUCAAGUACUUUGGCGUAAUAUGAAAAUCAAGUUUUUCGAGAGGCAAGUGCGGCAGUAUGUUAUGUAUAUCAUUGUGGCUCUGACCGUAGUGUUUUAUAUGAUCCCAAUUAAAUUCAUCUCUCCGGUCACAACUUUGGAUAAUCUGGUAAAAUUUAUCCCAUUUAUCAAGCCAGUUGUGAAUCAAUCUGGAUAGCUACUCAAGUAACUUGACAACUGAUUAUUUGCAGCGUGCCGCUGCACCGCAACAAUAGACUGACUAUGUAACUACCUAAGUAACUGGCAAUGUAAUUACCAUGUAGCUAUCCAAGUUUAUGACAUAGACAUGUAACUCUUAAAAUGCAUAUGUGGUUAUUCAUGUAACUAUUGAAAGCCAUGUAACUAGUAAUGUAACUAAAAAUGUAACUACCUUUUAUAUGACAUGGACAUGUUGUUGCAACUGUUAAAAUGCAUAUGUAGCUGUAAACAAAAAUGAUAUCCUUAUAUUUAUACCUAAUCUGAAAAGAUUACAAGUUACAACAAAAUUCAUAGUUAACACAUUUUUCUUCCUUACAACGAACACAUUAUCUCUUCACUUUCUUCCUUAUUUUUUGUUAGUCUCGCUCUGGUACUAUUCUUCACAAAUCUUUUUCUUCCUCUUUGACAUUUCUUCUCCUUAUGUCCUUACUUAGAGAUGGGAACACAUGCAUCAGCAUGGCCGGGAUCAUACAAAAAACAAAACAUAUGAUAAGACGAGCAUCUCUUCAAGGAACAAAAAAUGAGUUAGCUAGAGUACUCUACUGAUAUAUGACACUGAGUCAAUUACAUAAUAAAAUGAGUUAGCUAGGUUAAUUUAGUUACACAAGUCAUUUACGUAAUAAUUGCAACAUGCCGCUACACCGCGACAACAAGCAUAUGCAGCGAACCUUGUAACUACCUAGGUGACUAUCAUGUAACCACUCAAGUAUAUAUGAUUAUGUAACCUCAAGUAUAACUGAGCAUGUAAGUGAUUAGCAAUGUAACUAAGCAGACAUGUAAAUUUCCAUAUAAUUGAUCAUGUAAUUGGCUAAAUAACUGCAUGCAAUCAUGUAAUUAAUUAGCCAUGUAACUGGCAAUGUAACUACCUUGGUAACUGACAAUGUAACUAUGCGGUCAUGUAAGUGGCUAAGUAACAUGUAACUGUCAAUGUAACUAGUUAUGUAACUAGCAAUGUAACUAAAUGGUUCAUGUAACUGACAAUGUAACUAUCUAUAUAACUAUUCAUGUAACUAUUCAUGUAACUAUCCAUGUAAUUAUCCAUCUAUGUAAUUAUCCAUCUAUCUACAUUAACCUACCUAUGUAACUAUCCAUGUAACUAUCCAUCUAUGUAACUAUGCAUGUAACUAUCCAUGUAACUACAGAUUGAUAGUUACCUAGGUAGUUACAUACAUGCUACACUUGUGUACCUGUCUAUGUAACUAUCUAUGUAACUAUGCAUGUAACUAUGCAUGUAACUAUCUAUGUAACUAUCAAUCCAUGUAACUAUGCAUGUAACCAUCCAUGUAACUAUUUAUGUAACUAUGUAAGUAGCAAUGUAACUAUCCAUGUAAUUAUCCAUGUAACUAUGCAUGUAACUAUCCAUGUAACUAUCCAUGUAACUAUCCAUCAUGUAAUUAUCCAUGUAACUAUGCAUAUAACUAUCCAUGUAACUACAGAUUGAUAGUUACCUUGAUAGUUACAUACAUACUACACUUGUGUACCUACCUAUGUAACUAUUCAUGUAACUAUGCAUGUAACUAUUCAUGUAACUAUGCAUGUAACUAUCAAUGUAACUAUGCAUGUAAUAUUAAUGUAACUGUCUAUGUAACUAUCAAUGUAACUAUGUAUGUAACUAUCCAUCGUGUAAUUAUCCAUGUAACUAUGCAUAUAACUAUCCAUGUAACUACAGAUUGAUAGUUACCUGAGUAGUUACAUAUAUGCUACACUUAUAUACCUGCCUAUGUAACUAUGCAUGUAACUAUGUAUGUAACUAUCAAUGUAACUGUCUAUGUAACUGUAUGUAUGUAACUAUCCAUGUAACUAUCAAUGUAAUUAUCUAUCUAUGUAACUAUGCAUGUAACUAUCCCAUCUAUGUAAUUAUCCAUGCAACUAUCCAUGUAACUACAGAUUGAUAGUUACAUGGGUAGUUACAUACAUGACGGGCACAAGAAGGUAAUUAUCAAUGUAACUAUCCAUGUAACUAUGCAUGUAAUUAUCCAUCUAUGUAACUAUUCAUGUAACUAUGUAUGUAACUAUCCAUGUAACUACAGAUUGAUAGUUACCUGGAUAGUUACAUGCAUGUUACACUUGUGUAUUUGCCUAUGUAACGAUCCAUCCAUGAGGAUACGGUAAUAGAACAAUAAAAUUUGCACAUACAUCACACAAUGCAAGUCCGAGAAUUCAAUAAUGACCGACUACAUAAGCAAGGAAAAUGAAAUGAGCUGAAGGGUUACCUAUUUCCAAUAAGCUUGUGCAGCCUAAUAAUCAAGUCCUCUUCCUGUUCAGACAUGUCGCCUCUCUUGAUGUUGGGUCUCAGAUGGUUCACCAUUUCACCCAUCUCAGCAUGUUACUCUUGCUGCUCCGAUUCAGCCCUACACCGAAAACCCAUUAUUCUCUUGAUCAUUAAGUACAUAAUGUGAUUGAUUUGGGUUACAUUCAUGCAUAUAUACAAUACAAACCUGCUUUGGAGGCUAUUGAGGUCCAGUUCUUUGCACCAUGAAGGGGCAACAACCUCGAUUAGUUUCUCAUCUUCGUCGGAAGUCCACUUCUGUAGACAGAAUUUUCACAGAUCAUCAUAUAAAUUGAAAUAGACGGAAUUCUUUCACCCCUGGUUUUGACAUAGCACCCUGCCUUUCUCUUUGUUUAGUUUAUUUCUUUUCAAAGAUUGGUUGGCCUAACUGACGAGUACAAGAUGAACUCUAUUACUCUAAACUCAAAACACAUGCACUUAUUGUCUCUCUGGUGCUUCAGUCCUAGAAAAAAAAAAAGUAUGGAAUCACAGCAACAUAACCACAAGAAAACUAAUCAUGUCAUGGUUGCAUAUAUGAAGUAACAUGCUAUCACCUGUUACUCUAAUAGUGUCAGGUGAACUCAUAUCAGAAAAAGGCCACGUAACCACAUAAGAGACAAAGAACGAAAUCAAAUUUCUAUAUUCAAGGAUACAUGGCUGGUUAAUUGGUUUGAUUUACAACAUAAUGGAUAACUGUUUGAUAUUGUUCCUGCCUCAAUUCUAAGCAACUUCAUAAAAGUUAGUUUAACUUUCAUAUCAAAUUUGUACCAUAUCCAUUAACAAAAUGAGAAAAGCAGAGACAGGACUGAAUCAUAACUAUAUGCUACCAUUAAGGACUCAAUAAAAAGGGAAUCUCACCUCCGGGCACAAGAUGGCAACAAUUUAAAAACCCCAACUGAAUAUCAUAGCCAUGAGGCAAUCCUGUAGUUUAUAUAGUACAAUACGCAACUGUUCUAAUCAUGAAGUCAAACAAGAGUCUACAAACAAGAAAAAAGGAGGGGGAGGGGGGGCGCAGCUCUUUCUUUUUCCUGCAUCAUGCACCAGUUCACCUGCAGAGUGCAGAAUAAAGGGUAAACCAUCACAUAUACAUUAUCCCAUUAGUUAUUACUAGACCCUAAGGGAUUGAACAAAAGAAAAACCUUCUGAAUAUAAUCAGUCAAUGAGUCAUGCACCACCCACUGAGAAGAUAACUGGGAGUAGAAAGCGGCGCUUUCAUCAAUCCUGCACAAAGUUUUCAUAGUAUGGUGUUGAUAUGUUUUUGCCAAUUUCCAUAAAGAUACUCAUGACAUCUUGCAGCAUCUUUGUAUCAAUCUGAUUCCCAUGACGCUCUUCACAAAUCUGUAGCAAAUAUAUGUCAAAUACAGCUCCAAAGAUGAGGCUUAAGUUAUUAAACCAUUUGAAGCAAAUAAAAUAAAACCAAAGACGAUGCAGCUGCCUGUAUUCUACUAAGCAACACGUUGAAGACCUGAAAGAAAAAGAGAAUUAUUUCUGACAUCACCCUAGUUCAUAAUCCAAAUCCAUAAUCCCAGAUCUUCAAAACUCAACCAAACUCAAGUUCAAUAAGGAGGUGAAGCGAAACUACAACAAGCUUCUUUACCUCGUCAAGAUGAAGUUACCGCCAUCGAUCUCGAUUGCAGCCGUGACCGGAGUCGAAAAAUUUUCCGGAGAUGCCGAGAAACAUUUGAGCUUCGAUUCUCUUUCACAGGAGCUCGUCACCCCCAAAGCCACAGACAUGACUGCGACGCUGAGAGGAAGCUAUGUCUACCGGUACGACGCCGGGAGAAAGGGCGUGUCUCCGUCGCGCUUUUGGGGGUUUUCAGAUGAGAUGAUGCUCACUGAUCUUAGAGAGACGGGGAAGACAGAAGGGUAUAAGCGUCAAUAAAAAAAUCUCAGAUGGACUGUUAUAUCAUUUAACAACUUUAGAGGUAACCAUUUUAUCAUCUAAUAUCUUUUAGAGGUUACCUUUUUAUCAUGUGGAACAAUUAAAGAUUUUUUUAUCAUUUGUAUUUGUAAAUGGUAGUUUUGUGUUAUAUGUCCAAUUUAAAAUUUAAAAACGUAAGAUGACUUACAAUAUCCUCCUGAGUGUCAUGAUAUGCUUUCUCGUACGUAUAGACGUACCGGUUGACUUCUAGAUGUUCCUUGGCCGCUUCGUCCAUGAAGACAGCGAACGGUCUAGAACCGGCACGAUAGUUCCUUGUGUUGCGUUGUCGGUUCUGAGCGUUCGCCCGGGAAACGGCCUUCAAAGAAAAAAAUAAACUAUUAGUAAAAUAUUUAAAAACGGACAUACUUAAUGACAAAUUAACUAAUUAAUUUUUUUAAAUACCUGUUUACGAGAGUUGUUGAAUUCUGAUGUCAGAAGUCAACGCCACUCGUACUCCUUGUACUGGAACUCAACAAGGGUACCAGAACGUGCGUUCUAGUGCGUAGUCUAGUGGGUCCGCAACUGUUCUUCCACUCCUUGGACCUACAGAUACAACAAAAAUAUUAGAAAUAUUAUUAAUAUCACAUACAAUUUUGUUUUUUCAUUAACUUCCCAAUAUACCUUCCCCCAUGCACAACGUCCGCCCAGCUGUUCUUCAGGUGCUCGGGAACCUCAAACCACACUUGCAUUUAACCGUUUAUUAGUUUAUUUUUCGAGAAAUCAACAAUGUAAUACAUAAUAUUAUUGAGGCAUUUUGUAAACUCACCGAUAUCGCGUUGUGGAUCAUGUCCUUAACCUCCUGCGGGACCUCGCUCCAGUUUGACCACAACAUAGGGACUCUAUCCCUAAUGAGCGCUCCCACGCGGCCGGAGUACGUCCUCGACUUCCCGCCCGAUACUAUGUGGCCAUCCCCGUCAGUACUGAUGACGAUUCUCCUUGAGGUACUGACGGUCUUCUCGAGAGCCUUCCUUGUGACGGGGCCUCUCUUUUUCUUUGUCGGUUUCGCUCCGACGGUGCCUAUCAUAUGAUAAACCAAAUUGACUAUUAAAAUCGGAGACCCUUUAUUAUUAAUUAUAAGAAAACAAAUCAUUCAUCUUUCAUUGCCUGAGGGCGAUGCGGCGGACGCGACAGAUUCCGUCUUUGUCGCCGAUGAUGAUACCCUAGCGGAAAUAAGAGGCAUAUCAAAAUGCACGAACCGGUACGCCGCUGAUGGAGCCACUGGCGGGGGCAGUAGAUAAAUCAGCGUCCCUGAGCCAUCGACUGCAGGUUCAAUACUAAUUUUAUAUUUCAUAUCACUAAAAUAAUAGAAUCCUAAAACUAAACUAAAAACAGUUUAACUAGAUCGAGCUGUUUCAUGAAUUGGUGUACUCCUAUUUUGGUUCUUACUUCUUAAGGUGGUACAAGACGUCAUCAUCCCAAGGAUUAAGAACCAAAAUAGAACAGAAGUAUACCAAUUCUGAAUCCUUGAACCCACUGCUUCAAUUCAAAAGAACACCAAAAGCCUAAUUAAUUACCUUUAAAGCGCUAAUUAAUUUACUAUUUUUCAUUAUUUUCUCCAUAUUUACGUACGAUUUAAAGGUACAUACGUAAGAAAUUAACAUUGAUUGAAGAAAAAUAUAGAAUUAUAUUAUAUAAGCUUGAACUCAAAACCUCUCCAUUGAACCGUUGACUUGUAGCUCCAGACUCAAUCUCCGAUGCUUAAUCUUUGUUAAAUACUUCAUUAUCUAUUCUCUCUCUAUUACUACACCCUAAACAAAAGUUCAACUUAAACCAGAUCGACCAUGGAAGGAUUGGAAGCUAAGUCCUCGAUCCACCAGAAACUGAAACCACCCCACGUCGUCAUUGUCCCAACUCCGGGAUUAGGCCAUCUGAUCCCCCUCGUUGAGCUAGCGCAACGGCUCGUCGUCCACCACAACUUCACCGUCACCUUCUUCAUCCCCAACGACGGGUCGCAGCUGCAACCUCAGAAGAAACUCCUCGAAGCCUUGCCUCCAGCCAUAUCCUACGCCUUCCUCCCUCAAGUGAACUUCGAUGACCUCCCUCAUGACGUCGUAUCCGAGACGAAGAUCGUACUCACCUUGACUCGUUCACUGUCUGCUCUACGUGACGCGGUUAAGCUCCUCGCCGAGUCAACUCGGGUUGUGGCUAUAGUGGUGGAUAUUUUCGGCUGGGAAGCCUUUGAUGUGGCCAAAGAGUUUAACGUACUCUUUUACUAUUUCUUCAGCACGAACGCUAUGGGGUUGUGGUUCUUGUUUGAGUUGCCAAAGCUCGAUGAAACCACUUCAUGCGAGUAUAGGGAUCUGCCGGAACCGAUCCACCUUCCGGGUUGCGUGCCGCUUCACGGUCCUGAUUUUGUAAUGCAGGUUCAAGAAAGGUCUAACGAGGCCUAUAGAGCGACGGUGAACAUGAGCAAGUGGUAUAGGUCGGCAAAUGGGAUCAUUGUGAAUAGCUUUGCGGAUUUGGAACCCGGUGCCUUGAUGGCUUUCAGUGAGCAACGUCAAGUUCUAGGUAUUCCACCGGUUCACGCGGUUGGACCGGUGGUGAACAGCAACAUGAAUCCAGGCAGAGAAACCGGAUCGAAGGUGAAGACCGGAGAGGAGGCAGAUGUGUUAGGUGAGCACGAGUGCUUAAGCUGGCUAAACAGUCAACCAGAAGGUUCGGUGUUGUUUGUGUCAUUUGGGAGCGGUGGGACUUUAUCAAGUGAGCAGAUGAAUGAAUUGGCUUUAGGGCUUGAAAUGAGUGGGGUGAGAUUUCUAUGGGUGGUUAGGUGCCCGAAUGAGAAUUCUACUAGUGCCACU
rnacentral:lncRNA from 1 species